rnacentral:rRNA from 1 species
CUACGGGUGGCAGCAGUGAGGAAUAUUGCACAAUGGAGGAAACUCUGAUGCAGCAACGCCGCGUGGAGGAUGACGCAUUUCGGUGUGUAAACUCCUUUUAUAUGUCAAGAAAAUGACGGUAGCAUAUGAAUAAGCACCGGCUAACUCCGUGCCAGCAGCCGCGGUAAUACGGAGGGUGCAAGCGUUACUCGGAAUCACUGGGCGUAAAGGACGCGUAGGCGGGAUAUCAAGUCAGGUGUGAAAUCCUACAGCUUAACUGUAGAACUGCACUUGAAACUGGUAACCUAGAGUAUGGGAGGGGGAGAUGGAAUUAGUGGUGUAUGGGUAAAAUCCGUAGAUAUCACUAGGAAUACCUAAAGCGAAGGCGAUCUCCUGGACCAUAACUGACGCUAAGGCGUGAAAGCGUGGGUAGCAAACAGGAUUAGAUACCCCAGUAGUC